GAUAGUUCACCAUGGGGUGCUCUUCAGAACACAUUAUUUCAUUUCCCCCUCCUUUUUCUCAUGGGUGUGGAAUAGUCUGGCAUUGUCUGAAUGUUCUUUCCUUUGCAUUUGGUUAUCUUUCUCUUGAUGGCUUGCCAAAUUUAUUUCAGAACUGAAUCAUUAAAUUUAACCAUUGUGUGUCUUGGAGUUUGCAGUAUUUUUUUUUUCCUGGAGGUGAUGUAUGAAUUUUUUCCAUUGGAAUUUCAUUUUCCCAUGUUCGGAAGUUCUGGGCAGUUGUCUCCUAGUAUUUUCUUCAUUCAUUAUAGUGUUAAGGUUUUUCUAUCCAGUCAUAGUUUUCUGGGAGACCUAUAAUGCUUAGAAUGUCUCUACACAUCCUGUCUUUGAGAUUGAUGUUUUGCUUACAUGGGAGUUCUGAGGCUGCCUGUUUAAGCCCUUAAUCAAAAGACACAAUAUUGCAAAGAGUCUCUAGCUGGAAUUUCCUUUCUUUUCAAACAAGCAAAGUCUGAGAGGUGAUGAAGACUGAGGCUGACUCUUAACCCAGCUGUCCCCAGGGAUUGUUUAUUGUUUCAGCAGAGAGAGCCUAAAGGAAUCAGAAGAAAAUAAGAAUUGAAGCUUUGAAGAGCUAUGCUGAAGAAGCCCAGGAAGUUUCCAGAUUCUUCCAGAUGGCAUUUGCCAUAGCGAGAUGGUCCAGUUCAUGGACUUUUUCCCCAUUUCUGUUUUUUGAGAAUUAAGAGAGAGCUUGCUUGUGUGUACUCUCUUGGAAGGUGACAGUAAGAGAGGGUAGGAUGUGGAAGAGGAAUAAGUGCAAUGGCUCCAACCUGAGGGUUGCUGGCAGUUUGGAUGGGAAUCCAAAAAAUGCAUAUACAUAAGUGUUUCUACCGAAAGAAAAUGCCACUCCCCUUAUUCCUGGGAAUUCUGAAUUGGGGAAGAAUGGAAAAAAAGACAUUGCAAUGUUAUUCUUUUCAAGUGCCAUUAGUAACAGAUGUUUGCUACGGAUUCAAGAGUUUGUUGCCAAUCAAGAUACUGGGUGACUCCCUCCCAUCUAUCAAAAAAGCAUAUGUAAAGGAAAGGGAAGGAGAGAAGCAUUAUUAUAUAACACCUACUGUGUGCCACAUA